rnacentral:rRNA from 1 species
UACGUAGGGCGCAAGCGUUGUCCGGAAUUAUUGGGCGUAAGAGCUCGUAGGCGGCUUGUCACGUCGGGUGUGAAAGCCCGGGGCUUAACCCCGGGUCUGCAUUCGAUACGGGCUAGCUAGAGUGCGGUAGGGGAGAUUGGAAUUCCUGGUGUAGCGGUGGAAUGCGCAGAUAUCAGGAGGAACACCGAUGGCGAAGGCAGGUCUCUGGGCCGAUACUGACGCUGAGGAGCGAAAGCGUGGGGAGCGAACAGG